UGUGAAGUGUGAACGCUCUAAACCAGAAUGUGAAAAGCCAACCGGUCCAUCACCGGGAUACGCUAAGAUUAUUAUGGGUUUAGCCGUGUCACCAACUUGAGUGCGGCACACGUACUGACACAACCACUCACGCACUGACGAUGCACAGGAACUCAUAAAAGCAACUGGCUGGGUUUCGUAAGACCCUAGCGCUUCGCUCUGCUAAAUAGCUCAUUGCUUCUUCUUCUUGGGUUUAACGUGCGUCCGGGCUGGUGGGUCUUUUCCUCUGUCUUCGCGGUAGAUUGCAAACUAUGAAACGCAAACAUCUUAGAAGUGGAAUAAGCCAGAUUAGCAAGAAAGGUGUGGAGGAGGAUGCAGCUACUCGAGUCACUCGGGGGGAUUUGAUAUGGGUCAGACUCAAUGGUGGCUCAUGGUGGCCUGCACAGGUUGCUGAUGAGAACACUGUGAAUGGGAGCAUUAAACCCAGAAAUAAAUCAGCGGGUGAAGUUCUUGUUAGGCUCUAUGGAAGCUAUAAAUACUUGUAUGUGGAUCCUGUAAAAUGUCAUUCUGAGUUUGAGUUAAUACUCCAGCAGAAUAAUGGUUGCCGUCGUAAAAUUUUUGAGAAAGCACUGGAGCAGGAUUGUCCCCGCUCAAAAUAUGGUAUAUCAAAGAGACGAGGAGCCAAAUCUAAGGAAAAUGUAGGAAUUGACGCAACUAGAGAUAAGUCCAAUCAAAAUCAAGUCAAGGAUCAGGAUAUAGAAGCCUCAAAUUAUGUAAGGGUUUCUCCAAGAGGGCAUCCUCCAACAAUUACUCCAAAAGUGAAGGUGAAGAAUGGAAGUUCCAGAAAAGCUGAGGAAGCAAAAAAUGAGGCCUCUAAGCAAGAUGGGAUGAAAAAGAAUCUUAAACCAAAUAGCUCAAGCUCUGAGGAGAGGGCAGCAGAAAAUAUAACCUCUAAACAAGAUAGGAGGUUGCAAAGGAAUCUCAAACAGUGUAGGUCAAGUGGUGCGGAAAAAACCUCUAAGCAAAAUGUGGUGCAGAAUAAACUCAAGCUAGAUAGCCCAAGCGUUCGGCCAACCAGUCGAAGGGCCAAGAAGGAGGCAAGAAUUAAAAUCUCUAUGCAAGGAGCACGGCAGAGUCUCAAGCGAAAGAGCCCAAGUAGUGAUGAACAACUAGAUAACAAAGCCCAUGAGCUAGAUGAUAUGCAGAAGAAACUCAAGCCAAAUAGCAGCAAAAACUUUAAGCAAGUUGAGGUGCAGAAUAAUCUCAAGACAGAGCAUGCGGGCACUGAGAAAGGGAAGAAAUGCAAAAUUCCUGAUCAAGAUGUGCAGAAAAAAUCUAAGCCAAAUAACCAAAGCACUGAGGAGGAUGCAAAAAUUAGAACCCGCAAGGAAGAUGAGGUGCUGAAGAAAAACAAGUUAAAUAGCCCAAGCUCUGAAACAACUUUAUUUGGAAAGUCCCAAGAACUUAGUGCCCGAAGAACGAAAGUGAUGCAAAGUCUUGGUCUGAUUGCUCCUUCUGGGUCACCAUUCCACAAAAAUGGAAACUUUUGUCUGAGUUUGUGCUAAUUGUUGGUACUGAGCCAUUAUUAUUCUGCAAAUUAGUUCUCUUGUAUUGUACAGUUUAAAACUGUACAAUGUCAUCCCCAGAGAAUGCCAAUUAAUAAGACUGGUAUCCCCAGAGAUUGCUAUACCAACAUUUAUGAUCGUGAUGAUCAUUAUGAUCAAGAUUACAUUGAGAUUUCUGUGGGGGGUCUCUAAGUUUUUAGAUCAUGUAAAGUUAUUGUUACAUUCGUGUGAAGCCUUGAAGAAGGGCAUCUUGGAAAUGAGAUGGAUAGUAUUUAUUUCAUGGUCAAUAUUUAAAGUUUGUACAUUUAACCGUGUACGUGAUGUCACAUUACUUAAUUGUUUCAAGAAAAAAAAAGUGCCAACAUUGAUAUCUUGUACACCGUUAGAUUAGAUGCACAAAUUUUAAAUCUUGACUAUGAAAUCGAUACAAUCCAUUUCAAAUAAAAUGGAGAGAUCCUAUUCCGGCUUGUAAUAUUUUUCUAUUGACUAAUGUUGCUGUUUACAUGACGUAUUUUAAGUGGGCU